ACGUAGGGGGCGAGCGUUGUCCGGAAUUAUUGGGCGUAAAGAGCUCGUAGGCGGUUUGGUAAGUCACGUGUGAAAUCUCCACGCUCAACGUGGAGGCGCCACGUGAGACUGCCCUGACUCGAGUCCGGUAGGGGAGCGUGGAAUUCCCGGUGUAGCGGUGAAAUGCGCAGAGAUCGGGAGGAACACCCGUAGCGAAGGCGGCGCUCUGGGCCGGUACUGACGCUGAGGAGCGAAAGCGUGGGGAGCAAACAGGA
rnacentral:rRNA from 1 species